UAUGACCCUCAAUAAUAGAUACCUUGGCUCUUGCAUCGAUGAAGUGUGCGGUGAAAUAUAAUGUGGUGCACAUUGUAGAUUCAUGUGGACCAUCAAGUUAUUGAAUACAAGUUACACUCGAGACCAACUGGUUGAGGGCACAUCUUCUUGGGCAUCAGG
rnacentral:rRNA from 1 species